GAUCCUGGCUCAGAGUGAACGUUGGCGGCGUGGAUUAGGCAUGCAAGUCGAGCGAUCGUAGCAAUACGGGAGCGGCAAACGGGGUAGGAAUACAUCGGAACGUACCUUUUGGUUGAGAAUAGCGUUGGGAAACUGACGGUAAUACUCAAUAAAGUCGAGAGACCAAAGGUUUACUGCCGGAAGAGCGGCCGAUGCGAUAUUAGGUAGUUGGUGGGGUAAAUGGCCUACCAAGCCUGAGAUGUCUAGGGGGUGUGAGAGCAUGGCCCCCACCACUGGGACUGAGAUACUGCCCAGACACCUACGGGUGGCUGCAGUCGAGGAUCUUCGUCAAUGGGCGAAAGCCUGAACGAGCGACGCCGCGUGCGGGAUGAAGGCCCUUGGGUUGUAAACCGCUGUCAGGGGGGAUGAAACCGUAAGGUUGACAGAGCCCCAGAGGAAGCACGGGCUAAGUUCGUG
rnacentral:rRNA from 1 species